rnacentral:rRNA from 1 species
UACGAAGGUGGCAAGCGUUGUUCGGAUUUACUGGGCGUACAGGGAGCGUAGGCGGUUGGAUAAGCCCUCCGUGAAAUCUCCAGGCUUAACCUGGAAAGUGCAGAGGGGACUGUUCAGCUAGAGGAUGGGAGAGGAGCGCGGAAUUCCCGGUGUAGCGGUGAAAUGCGUAGAGAUCGGCAGGAACACCCAGGGGGAAACCAGCCGACUGGGCAUCUGCUGACGCUGAUGUGCGAGAGCGUGGGGAGCGAACCGG